UACGAAGGGGGCUAGCGUUGCUCGGAAUCACUGGGCGUAAAGCGCACGUAGGCGGACUCUUAAGUCGGUGGUGAAAUCCUGGAGCUCAACUCCAGAACUGCCUCCGAUACUGGGAGCCUUCGAGUCCGGGAGAGGUGAGUGGAACUGCGAGUGUAGAGGUGAAAUUCGUAGAUAUUCGCAAGAACACCAGUGGCGAAAGCGACUUCCUGGACCAAUACUGACGCUCAUGUGCGAAAGCGUGGGGAGCAAACAGG
rnacentral:rRNA from 1 species